rnacentral:lncRNA from 1 species
UUAAACUAAAGUGAAUGUAGUAUCAUUAAAUGAGGGAGGUGAGUGCAAUUUUUUCAAUAAAAUAUUCUUUUAUGGUAAAAUAUGUGUCUUGUUUAGAUGGAAUAUGGACUUUGAUGUCCACUACCACAUUUUCAUUUGUCACUCUUGAUUUCAAAGAACCAAUGAGAAUAUGAUAAUAAAUUGUGAUCAAUAAUUGUAAUAUUAUCUUUUAUUUAUUUAAUAACUAAUACAUUAUAGACUAAAUUAAAAUACUGCUUUCAAUGUCAUCGUUCUCAUAUUUAGCAUAAUCUUUCCCCACUAGGAUUUUUUGAGGGCCAGUUUUCUCCACUAAUAUUAGAAU